rnacentral:rRNA from 1 species
AUGUCGACGGUCAUCUCUUGCUCCCUCCUGAGCGGCCGGCCGGCGGACGCACCAUCGCGCUCCUCCGGCAAUCGGGCUCCUCCGACGACGGGGAAGGCUGCCGCGGUUUCUCUCUCUAGUUUCCAGCGGCAGUCCAGGCCCUCCUCCGUGUGCUGUGCAAGCAACCCAAAAGGGGAUCAGCACGUACCAAAGACGGAUUUGCCGCCGUUCGGCAUCUCCCCCGUCGCUCUGCUGCACCCCGGGUCGCCGCAGGGGGAGCGGUGGGGGAUACAUGAGAGGGCCGACAACGUGAGCAUGUGGUUCGAGGUGCCGGGCCUGUCCAAGGAGGACCUCCUCGUGGAGCUGGACGAGGACGUCCUCGUCAUACGGAAGAUGAAGACCAAGGCGGAGAUAGAGGCUGCGACGGCAGACGCUGUCGCCAGCGGUAGCUCCAAGGACGCGGCCGGAGCGGCAGCGCACGACGGUGACAUGUACGCGCGGCUACUCGUCCCGGCGGGCUACAACAAGGAGACCAUCAAGGCGGAGCUCGCCUCCGGCGUUCUGAAGGUUCACAUUCGUAAAGUCAUGGAGUGCGCACGCAGGAGGAUCAAUGUCAACAUCGACGUCAAGUAG